GGUAGUUUCAUUGUUGCUGUUUAUUUGAUGAAUUAACAUGACUGAAGAGGUGUGAGGUUUUUCCCAUCAGCCAGAUGCCAUCCAGAAAUAUAUGGAGACAAAUUUCCCAAAGGCAUAACUACCCGAAUAUGCGCGCAUGUGUUUUAAGGAAGACAGGGGGUUUCACACACUUCACCUUAAUAAAAUGAAGUACAUGGUAAAUUUUGGGGUUUUCUACAAUUAUAUCCAUUUUUUUACUUUUUUUUUUUGGAAAAUCAUUUUAUACUUUUAUUCAAUUCUUCCAAUAAACUAUAAUUAGUGUUACAACCACAUUGUUAGUCAUUUCUUUAUCCAAUCACCAUCAAUUUGCUAAUAUGGAAGUAAGCAGGAUAGAUAGAUUCAUUGUGUUGAGAACAGUGAUUGACAUGAACUUCACUUCCUAAAGCAUAUGUGGGUCUCAAAUUAGAUAUACAAUUGCCACAUAAGGUUUCUAUUGUCAAAUCAUGUAUGCUUUAGGAAAGUUAAAUGCAUCCUUAGUAUGCUUUUCACUAUAGCGUAUUUCCCAUGCCCACAUUAACAAAUUAGUAGCAAUUUUGAGAUUGAGGAUACAACUAUAAGACUAAUUAAAGCUUGUGAACCUAAUUGAUCAAAAUAAAGGAAUUGGAUAUAAUUUUAAAAUGCAAAAGUCAAAAUUUUUUGUUAUUGGGCCAUUCCUCAACCCCCUAAAGCAAGGGCAUCCCACAAAAUGAGGAGAAAUUGGGAAAUCUUAUGCAUGAAACUUUCUACAAAGAUGCAUCCAUCUUCUAUAAUGUGCCAAUUUCAACCUGUGUGUUCACCAUAAGGCAUAAUGUGAUAGGUUUCAGUGUGUUCACGCAGAAGAUAACAUGUGCAUGUGCCUGUAUAAAGAGUGUUGCAAUUACUUGGUGUGCCUGGGAGUAAGUUUUCUCCAUUUACUUUGAUAAUGUGAUUAAGAAUAGGAUUGUAGCAAUCAUCUUUUAGACAGUUUCUUUCUUUCUUGGUCAUUAAAUGCAGAUAUUGUAUCCUGUGAUGUCUGAAUGUGGCUUUCAGAACGAGCAUUAUGUAUUUCUUACAAGUGAUAAGAUCUAACAUGAAAGUCUAUUCUUACACCAGUACUCACCUCUUCUAUCAUAAAUGAUACUAUUAUCAUUACUUGUCAGUAUGGUUAAUUUUGGUUAUCCAUAUACAGUUGAAAUGCCUUUUGGAACUUUGAGCCUUAAUAUUUGGAUUUUUAAUAUACAUUUGAUUUGUAUUUCCUGAACAAGCCCUUAGCUGACCUACCUCUCAACUUAU
rnacentral:lncRNA from 1 species